UACGGGGGGGGCAAGCGUUGUUCGGAAUUACUGGGCGUAAAGGGCUCGUAGGCGGCCAACUAAGUCAUACGUGAAAUCCCUCGGCUCAACCGGGGAACUGCGUCCGAUACUGGCGGGCUUGAAUUCGGGAGAGGGAUGUGGAAUUCCAGGUGUAGCGGUGAAAUGCGUAGAUAUCUGGAGGAAUACCGGUGGCGAAGGCGGCAUCCUGGACCGGCAUUGACGCUGAUGAGCGAAAGCUAGGGGAGCAAACGGG
rnacentral:rRNA from 1 species